rnacentral:rRNA from 1 species
UACAGGGGGGGCAAGCGUUGUUCGGAAUUACUGGGCGUAAAGAGCUCGUAGGCGGCUUGUCACGUCGAUUGUGAAAGCCCGAGGCUUAACCUCGGGUCUGCAGUCGAUACGGGCUAGCUAGAGUGUGGUAGGGGAGAUCGGAAUUCCUGGUGUAGCGGUGAAAUGCGCAGAUAUCAGGAGGAACACCGGUGGCGAAGGCGGAUCUCUGGGCCAUUACUGACGCUGAGGAGCGAAAGCGUGGGGAGCGAACAGG